GAUAAAAGAAUUCUCCAAUAGAUUCAAUAUCUUUUAUAUAUUUUCUUUUACUUAUAAGAAGUCUAAUUUUUAUCAUAUAAUUUGUUGGUGUUUAUGAUGUUUUUGUCAUUGCUUUAGGCGAGGAUUAUCAGGUUAUUAUGAUGGAAAAUAAAAAACAUUCAUGAAUUUGAAUGAAGUGAGAAGUGUGAAAGAGAUUAAGAAGGAAGAAAGCCCGUUGAACAAGCGGAGAUGUUUGACCGUGGCACAAACUAGCUUAUAUAAAUGGGGAGGCUGCACCGUGCUGGUCUAAAUAAAAGAACACCAGUGACUCCUAAGAGGCUGCACAGUGCUGAUGUGCAGAUUGCUCCUUUUUCGCCACUUACACAGCAACAACAAUUGCAACUACUAAAGUCCUAUUACGAGUCAAAGUAUGAGAAAAGAAAUUCAUAACAACCAAUGUUGGAGGCUGCGCAUGACAUUUCCAUCUACAUUCACCGGUUCCACAAUCUUGACUUGUUCCAGCAAGGAUGGUACCAUAUUAAGAUUACAAUGAGAUGGGAAGAUGGUGAUAAUGGGUUAUUAGGAACUCCAUCCAGAAUCCUCCAAUAUGAAGCCUCUCGGGUUUGGAGAUUAAGAGAAAACUUGCUCAAAGAUAGGAAAGGGUAAAGUCAGUGGAUCUACAUCCCACCGAACCAUGGAUAUUGGCAAGUUUGUAUUCAGGGACUGUGUGCAUAUAGAACUACCAGACCCAGGAUCUGAGGCACAGUCUUGGGAUCCCGUUAAGCAGUAGAUCGAUUUAUCCAAAGCUAGCAGUUGGUGAGCCUCCCUUAUUUCGGAAGGCCGAUUUUAUGAGACAUUGUUAUUUUCUUUACUUAUGAUCCGACUGGGGCCCUUUUCCCAACUUUCAGGCAGAUAUUGGCUUUUGGUAUUAUUAGAGAUUUCGCAGACGGUGCAGAACCUAGUAUGAGUACGACGCACGAUGGUUGAUUUUGUGUUGAUCAGAGAUUGGUGAUUUGAGGUACUGACACACUCUAGGGCAUUAAUUUCAGAGUUGACCGCAAACAUUCUCUUAUCUAUUUUGAUGUAUUUAUUAGUUUUCGGAGACAGACCUUUAUACUAUCAAUAUUUUUGAUGUAUUUAUUAGAUGCUCUAUACUUAUGACACUAGAUUUUGGGGUCUUUAUGCAUUUUGUUCAGACUUUCA